GCCUCGCCUGUUUACCAAAAACAUCGCCUCUUGCAAAUAACAAAUAAGAGGUCCUGCCUGCCCACUGACCAUGUGUUUAACGGCCGCGGUAUUCUGACCGUGCAAAGGUAGCGCAAUCACUUGUCUUUUAAAUAAAGACCCGUAUGAAAGGCAAAACGAGGGCUUUACUGUCUCCUUUUUCAAGUCAAUGAAAUUGAACCCCCCGUGAAGAAGCGGGGAUGCUCCCAUAAGACGAGAAGACCCUGUGGAGCUUCAGACACAUAAACAGAUCACGUCAAAACCCCCUAACAAAAGAAUGAACUAAACGAACCCUAUUUAAAUGUCUUCGGUUGGGGCGACCACGGUGGAACUACAAAACCCCCGCGUGGAACGAGAGCACCCCGCUCCCACAACUAAGAGCUACCGCUCAAAUCAAGCAGAACCUCUGACCAACAAGAUCCGGCAAUGCCGAUCAACGAACCAAGUUACCCCAGGGAUAACAGCGCAAUCCUCUUUCAGAGUUCAUAUCGACAAGAGGGUUUACGACCUCGAUGUUGGAUCAGGACAUCCCAAUGGUGCAGCCGCUAUUAAAGGUUCGUUUGUUCAACGAUUAAAGUCCUACGUGAUCUGAGUUCAGACCGG
rnacentral:rRNA from 1 species